CAGAUUGUAGCUUAUUUAAAGUUUUUUAUUUACAUUAAGAGGAAAAUUAAUAUUUUAUCUGA
rnacentral:tRNA from 1 species